rnacentral:rRNA from 1 species
CCUACGGGAGGCAGCAGUGAGGAAUAUUGGUCAAUGGACGAGAGUCUGAACCAGCCAAGUAGCGUGAAGGAUGACUGCCCUAUGGGUUGUAAACUUCUUUUAUAUGGGAGUAAAAUGUUCCACGUGUGGGAUUUUGUAUGUACCAUAUGAAAAAGGAUCGGCUAACUCCGUGCCAGCAACCGCGGGAAUACGGAGGAACCGAGCGUUAUCCGGAUUUAUUGGGGUUAAAGGGAGCGUAAGUGGGAUGUUAAGUUCGGUGUGAAAGUUUGCGGCUCAAACGUAAAAUUGCAGUUGAAACUGGCAGUCUUGAGUACAGUAGAGGUGGGCGGAAUUCGUGGUGUAGCGGUGAAAUGCUUAGAUAUCACGAAGAACUCCGAUUGCGAAGGCAGCUCACUGGACUGCAACUGACACUGAGGCUCGAAAGUGUGGGUAUCAAACAGGAUUAGAUACCCUUGUAGUC